rnacentral:misc_RNA from 1 species
AAAAAGAAAAAGGAGCUCAGGAAAGACUAGUUGAACCUUUGAUGAGUCUCGUCAAGUCUUAUGAGGGUGGAAGAGAGAGUCAUGCCCGUGGUAUUGUCCAUUCCCUUUUUCAGGAGUAUCUAUCGGUUGAAGAAUUGUUUAGUGACAAUCUCCAGGCUGAUGUGAUUGAAAGACUCCGGCUUCAAUAUAAGAAAGAUCUCCUGAAGGUUCUCGACAUAGUGCUUUCUCAUCAGGGUGUUAAACGUAAAAAUAAGCUUAUACUUAGUCUGAUGGAGCAACUGGUAUAUCCCAAUCCUGCAGCAUACAGGGAAAAACUUAUUCGUUUCUCACAACUCAACCAUACAAAUUAUUCCGAGUUGGCACUGAAGGCCAGUCAACUCCUUGAACAAACUAAACUGAGUGAAUUACGUUCAAGUAUUGCCAGAAGUCUUUCUGAGUUAGAGAUGUUCACUGAAGAAGGUGACACUAUGGAUACUCCUAAGCGGAAAAGUGCCAUUAAUGAAAGAAUGGAAGCUCUAGUGAGUGCUCCUUUAGCAGUCGAAGAUGCACUUGUAGGCCUUUUCGAUCACGGUGAUCACACCCUUCAGAGGCGAGUUGUGGAGACCUAUGUUCGUAGACUCUAUCAGCCUUACCUCGUUCAAGGGAGUGUGAGGAUGCAGUGGCACAGAUCUGGACUAAUAGCUACAUGGCAAUUUUUGGAAGAGCAUGUUGAGAGAAAGAGUGGUUCUGGAGACAAUGUGAUGGUAAAACCGUUAGUUGAGAAACACAGUGAGAAAAAAUGGGGAGCCAUGGUUAUUAUCAAAUCUCUCCAGCUCCUGCCAACAGUACUAACUGCUGCAUUGAGGGAGACAGCACAUGGCUUGCAUGCCGAGAUGGCAAAUGGAUCCACUCCACCAGUCAGUCAUGGUAAUAUGCUGCACAUU